rnacentral:tRNA from 1 species
GAAGCUGUAGUAUAAAAUGAAUACACUUCAUUUACACUGAAGAAAUACUUAUGGCUUAAGUUGGCUUUA